rnacentral:rRNA from 1 species
AGUGAACGCUGGCGGUAGGCCUAACACAUGCAAGUCGAACGGCAGCACAGUAAGAGCUUGCUCUUACGGGUGGCGAGUGGCGGACGGGUGAGGAAUACAUCGGAAUCUACUUUUUCGUGGGGGAUAACGUAGGGAAACUUACGCUAAUACCGCAUACGACCUACGGGUGAAAGCAGGGGAUCUUCGGACCUUGCGCGAUUGAAUGAGCCGAUGUCGGAUUAGCUGGUUGGCGGGGUAAAGGCCCACCAAGGCGAGGAUCCGUAGCUGGUCUGGGAGGAUGAUCAGCGACACUGGAACUGAGACACGGUCCAGACUCCUACGGGAGGCAGCAGUGGGGAAUAUUGGACAAAGGGCGCAAGCCUGAUCCAGCCAUACCGCGUGGGUGAAGAAGGCCUUCGGGUUGUAAAGCCCUUUUGUUGGGAAAGAAAAGCAGCAGGUUAAUACCCCGCUGUUCUGACGGUACCCAAAGAAUAAGCACCGGCUAACUUCGUG